rnacentral:lncRNA from 1 species
ACUCGCAGGGCUCUCACUGCUCGCGGUGCGGCAGCCGCGCGCGGACUCCGCUGCGCCUCCGAGGGGGCCAGGCACGCGGUCAAGAUCUGUGGCCACUGGUUCCCAUGGUUUCGAGGCACCAUGAGGCUCGCUGGCUCCUGGAAACUUUGGCUUUGGGCAGCACUUCUCCUGCUUCCUGCUUCCACUUCCGUGACGGUUAGGGACAAGCCAGGUAUGCCGGCCACCUCUUUGUCUAGUCCCCAAAUGUUAUUUAUAAUCUUUACUUUAAAAAAUGAUUAAAAUCUUGUUGAGAUUGAAGAGGCCAUAGAUUAAAUCUCUUAGUGGAAAUAGAUGUUUUCCCCAUUGACCUUGACAACACACAUCGAGAAUGUCUAAAAUUACCUCAUGUUUUCAUAUGCAUAUUAGUCUAGAUAGCCUUUUAUUUCUCUCAUUGAUAGUUAAAAAUAUAAAUGUGAAUGUGCAUCUGUGUGUAUGUUUCUCCCUUUCCUCUUUAAAUUCUAAGUUAUUCACAUUAUAAGUAUGGAAACCCAUCACCAGUUAGGAAAGCAGGGAUGUACAUAAGGUUAAUUAGGGAAAGUGAAAAACUGAAUAGGAAAUAGGAAAGGAAAUGUAGUUUAAUUAUUGCCAGUUUUGUAGUGUCAGAUGAGGUGAACCAAAGACAACCAGUCGUGAGAGCACUUUUUAAACUAGAUAGAUAAUACUCACUUGCAAUUGUUAAAUACCAACCUCAUAAAUAUUUCUGAAGGACUUGAAGGCAAUUUACUUCCACUUUAGAUUUUUUAAAAUGGUUAUGUGGCUAAUUUGAAAGACUUUUCUUGAACAUUGAAUAGGUGUUAAGUUCCUGAUGGAGAUCUACUUCGGUUACAAAGUUGCAGUAGAUACAGUGAAAAGCCCUUUGCUAAGCAAAGAGAAACUCCUACGCUCUUUCUGUGCAAAGGAUGACUUGUGAUGUAUUCUGGCCAUGGUCCCAGGUGAAGAUGUGUUCUUAGACUGUGUGUCUUGUGCUUGGUCUUUUAAAUAUCUCUUUCAUAUUUUUUGCUAAACAGGUAUAAACACAUCCUAGUAGAGACUUUUGAGUUUAAAGCAUUCAGAAAAUAAAAACAAUCUCUUAUAAAGAUACAACACUUCUGAGCCUCUCAGUGUCUUGUCGGUCUUUACAGUUUUUUUACUAAUUUCACAGGGUACAUUUCAUAAAUAAUCUACAUGAAAGUUUGAAUAUUCUAACACCAUACAAAUGAUGCCCUGUGGCUGUCAUACUUCUUUGGAGGGCAAAAAAAAAAA